rnacentral:rRNA from 1 species
UACGGGGGGGGCAAGCGUUGUUCGGAAUUACUGGGCGUAAAGGGCGCGUAGGUGGCCAACUAAGUCAGACGUGAAAUCCCUCGGCUUAACCGGGGAACUGCGUCUGAUACUGGAUGGCUUGAGUUUGGGAGAGGGACGCGGAAUUCCAGGUGUAGCGGUGAAAUGCGUAGAUAUCUGGAGGAACACCGGUGGCGAAGGCGGCGUCCUGGACCAAUACUGACACUGAAACGCGAAAGCCAGGGGAGCAAGCGGG